UACGUAGGAGGCAAGCGUUGUCCGGAAUUACUGGGUGUAAAGCGCGUGUAGGCGGCAGGCCAAGUCUGUGGUGAAAUCGCUCGGCUCAACUGGGCGGGGUCCAUGGAAACUGGUCAGCUGGAGGACGGUAGAGGUGAGUGGAAUUCCCGGUGUAGUGGUGAAAUGCGUAGAGAUCGGAAAGAACACCAACGGCGAAGGCACUCUGCUGGGCCGACACUGACACUGAGAGACGAAAGCUAGGGGAGCAAAUGGG
rnacentral:rRNA from 1 species